GAGCCCGCACAAGCAGUGGAGUAUGUGGUUUAAUUCGACGCAACGCGAAGAACCUUACCAGGUCUUGACAUCCCAAGGACGGCGCGUAAUGGCGCUGGUGCCCUUCGGGGAGCUUGGAGACAGGUGGUGCAUGGUUGUCGUCAGCUCGUGUCGUGAGAUGUUGGGUUAAGUCCCGCAACGAGCGCAACCCUUACGGUUAGUUGCUACGGAAGAGCACUCUGGCCGGACUGCCGUUGACAAAACGGAGGAAGGCGGGGAUGACGUCAAAUCAUCAUGCCCCUUAAGACCUGGGCUACACACGUACUACAAUGGCGCAAACAAAGGGAAGCUAAGCCGCGAGGCGGAGCGAACCCCAUAAAAGGCGUCCCAGUUCAGAUUGCAGGCUGCAACCCGCCUGCAUGAAGUCGGAAUUGCUAGUAAUCGCGGAUCAGCAUGCCGCGGUGAAUACGUUCCCGGGCUUU
rnacentral:rRNA from 1 species